rnacentral:rRNA from 1 species
UACAGAGGGUGCAAGCGUUAAUCGGAAUUACUGGGCGUAAAGCGUGCGCAGGCGGUUAUGUAAGACAGGGGUGAAAACCCCGGGCUUAACCUGGGAACUGCAUUUGUGACUGCAUAGCUAGAGUACGGUAGAGGGGGGUGGAAUGCCGCGUGUAGCAGUGAAAUGCGUAGAGAUGCGGCGGAACACCGAUGGCGAAGGCAGCCCCCUGGGCUGAGAUUGACGCUCAGGCACGAAAGCGUGGGGAGCAAACAGG